rnacentral:rRNA from 1 species
GGGUUGUGAGGUUAAGCGACUAAGCGUACACGGUGGAUGCCCUGGCAGUCAGAGGCGAUGAAGGACGUGCUAAUCUGCGAUAAGCGUCGGUAAGGUGAUAUGAACCGUUAUAACCGGCGAUUUCCGAAUGGGGAAACCCAGUGUGUUUCGACACACUAUCAUUAACUGAAUCCAUAGGUUAAUGAGGCGAACCGGGGGAACUGAAACAUCUAAGUACCCCGAGGAAAAGAAAUCAACCGAGAUUCCCCCAGUAGCGGCGAGCGAACGGGGAGCAGCCCAGAGCCUGAAUCAGUGUGUGUGUUAGUGGAAGCGUCUGGAAAGGCGCGCGAUACAGGGUGACAGCCCCGUACACAAAAAUGCACAUGCUGUGAGCUCGAUGAGUAGGGCGGGACACGUGGUAUCCUGUCUGAAUAUGGGGGGACCAUCCUCCAAGGCUAAAUACUCCUGACUGACCGAUAGUGAACCAGUACCGUGAGGGAAAGGCGAAAAGAACCCCGGCGAGGGGAGUGAAAAAGAACCUGAAACCGUGUACGUACAAGCAGUGGGAGCCUCUUUAUGGGGUGACUGCGUACCUUUUGUAUAAUGGGUCAGCGACUUAUAUUCUGUAGCAAGGUUAACCGAAUAGGGGAGCCGAAGGGAAACCGAGUCUUAACUGGGCGUUAAGUUGCAGGGUAUAGACCCGAAACCCGGUGAUCUAGCCAUGGGCAGGUUGAAGGUUGGGUAACACUAACUGGAGGACCGAACCGACUAAUGUUGAAAAAUUAGCGGAUGACUUGUGGCUGGGGGUGAAAGGCCAAUCAAACCGGGAGAUAGCUGGUUCUCCCCGAAAGCUAUUUAGGUAGCGCCUCGUGAAUUCAUCUCCGGGGGUAGAGCACUGUUUCGGCAAGGGGGUCAUCCCGACUUACCAACCCGAUGCAAACUGCGAAUACCGGAGAAUGUUAUCACGGGAGACACACGGCGGGUGCUAACGUCCGUCGUGAAGAGGGAAACAACCCAGACCGCCAGCUAAGGUCCCAAAGUCAUGGUUAAGUGGGAAACGAUGUGGGAAGGCCCAGACAGCCAGGAUGUUGGCUUAGAAGCAGCCAUCAUUUAAAGAAAGCGUAAUAGCUCACUGGUCGAGUCGGCCUGCGCGGAAGAUGUAACGGGGCUAAACCAUGCACCGAAGCUGCGGCAGCGACACUAUGUGUUGUUGGGUAGGGGAGCGUUCUGUAAGCCUGUGAAGGUGUACUGUGAGGUAUGCUGGAGGUAUCAGAAGUGCGAAUGCUGACAUAAGUAACGAUAAAGCGGGUGAAAAGCCCGCUCGCCGGAAGACCAAGGGUUCCUGUCCAACGUUAAUCGGGGCAGGGUGAGUCGACCCCUAAGGCGAGGCCGAAAGGCGUAGUCGAUGGGAAACAGGUUAAUAUUCCUGUACUUGGUGUUACUGCGAAGGGGGGACGGAGAAGGCUAUGUUGGCCGGGCGACGGUUGUCCCGGUUUAAGCGUGUAGGCUGGUUUUCCAGGCAAAUCCGGAAAAUCAAGGCUGAGGCGUGAUGACGAGGCACUACGGUGCUGAAGCAACAAAUGCCCUGCUUCCAGGAAAAGCCUCUAAGCAUCAGGUAACAUCAAAUCGUACCCCAAACCGACACAGGUGGUCAGGUAGAGAAUACCAAGGCGCUUGAGAGAACUCGGGUGAAGGAACUAGGCAAAAUGGUGCCGUAACUUCGGGAGAAGGCACGCUGAUAUGUAGGUGAAGCGACUUGCUCGUGGAGCUGAAAUCAGUCGAAGAUACCAGCUGGCUGCAACUGUUUAUUAAAAACACAGCACUGUGCAAACACGAAAGUGGACGUAUACGGUGUGACGCCUGCCCGGUGCCGGAAGGUUAAUUGAUGGGGUCAGCGCAAGCGAAGCUCUUGAUCGAAGCCCCGGUAAACGGCGGCCGUAACUAUAACGGUCCUAAGGUAGCGAAAUUCCUUGUCGGGUAAGUUCCGACCUGCACGAAUGGCGUAAUGAUGGCCAGGCUGUCUCCACCCGAGACUCAGUGAAAUUGAACUCGCUGUGAAGAUGCAGUGUACCCGCGGCAAGACGGAAAGACCCCGUGAACCUUUACUAUAGCUUGACACUGAACAUUGAGCCUUGAUGUGUAGGAUAGGUGGGAGGCUUUGAAGUGUGGACGCCAGUCUGCAUGGAGCCGACCUUGAAAUACCACCCUUUAAUGUUUGAUGUUCUAACGUAGACCCGUGAUCCGGGUUGCGGACAGUGUCUGGUGGGUAGUUUGACUGGGGCGGUCUCCUCCUAAAGAGUAACGGAGGAGCACGAAGGUUGGCUAAUCCUGGUCGGACAUCAGGAGGUUAGUGCAAUGGCAUAAGCCAGCUUGACUGCGAGCGUGACGGCGCGAGCAGGUGCGAAAGCAGGUCAUAGUGAUCCGGUGGUUCUGAAUGGAAGGGCCAUCGCUCAACGGAUAAAAGGUACUCCGGGGAUAACAGGCUGAUACCGCCCAAGAGUUCAUAUCGACGGCGGUGUUUGGCACCUCGAUGUCGGCUCAUCACAUCCUGGGGCUGAAGUAGGUCCCAAGGGUAUGGCUGUUCGCCAUUUAAAGUGGUACGCGAGCUGGGUUUAGAACGUCGUGAGACAGUUCGGUCCCUAUCUGCCGUGGGCGCUGGAGAACUGAGGGGGGCUGCUCCUAGUACGAGAGGACCGGAGUGGACGCAUCACUGGUGUUCGGGUUGUCAUGCCAAUGGCACUGCCCGGUAGCUAAAUGCGGAAGAGAUAAGUGCUGAAAGCAUCUAAGCACGAAACUUGCCCCGAGAUGAGUUCUCCCUGACUCCUUGAGAGUCCUGAAGGAACGUUGAAGACGACGACGUUGAUAGGCCGGGUGUGUAAGCGCAGCGAUGCGUUGAGCUAACCGGUACUAAUGAACCGUGAGGCUUAACCUUACAACGCCGAAG